ACCGGACGAGUUAUCAGGUAAACACAUAAGUUCAGAGCAUAGGUUAACUGCAGUCAAGUAGGACUAAAAUAAAAUACAUCACCCUCAGGUGAGUCCUACAUGUCGAAGGUCUGUCAAAGCCGGAAAAGACCUCGAGAGCCACCAACCGCUAAUUUAGAACCUGGAGGGGCGCAAAACAAAAUGAGUGGGUCAGUAAAACCAAAGAUUUUCCAAAACAUUUCAAUUAAAACAUUUCUAACCCCUCACCGUAAAACCUGUAUACAUUCCCCAGAAAAAGUAGAUAUAUAUAAAACCAUAUGAAAUCUCAAAACUUAAAUCCCAAAUCUUUAACAUUUUUCAAGGAAACAUGCCAUGCAAUAAAUCAAAAUAUAAAUCAGGUGAAAUAAGGAAUCAAUCGGAGACCCUGCAGUUGGUCCUAUACGAUUAAUUCAACAGCUCAAUAUCCCACUAAGCCGGAGCCACCACAGUGACCUGUACGGCCCUACUCUGCACAUCACUCGGAACUACGUGAGGUAGUCUGUACGAUGAAAGGUGUAAAAAUACGCUCUAGUGCUUCUCUCAUCAUAUCAUCAACGCGCAUAUCUAAGGUCACCCACCAGUCGGAACCCCUCUAAUGGUCUGUACGACUGGCAUGUCGGAACCCUCACAUGGUCUGUACGACAUCCACCUACUUGGAUCCAAGGCGAGCGUGCGGUGUGGUGAAUAAAAUAAGCACUAACACCUAGGGUGCAGGUUAUGAGCUUGAAACAUCUUAUCAACAAUCAAUUAAAUGAAUAAUGAACUCACCUGACUUACCUGUGCCUCCACAGCACCAUGCAACAUGUAUGCAUCAUAUAUCAAUCAUAUAACUCAUAUGAAAUUCACAUUUUCCAAAUAAUUCUAUGCAUGGCAUUUUCAAAACAUAAUUUCGUAUAAAUUCAUCUUCUGGGAAAAAUUAAUAGUAUAAAGGUAAUACGAAAACAAAACUGCCCACUCACUGAUAAGUCGACGGGUCGUAACCCCCGUGGCGUCCCUGGAUGCGGUCGUCCUCGGGAUACGUC
rnacentral:lncRNA from 1 species